rnacentral:rRNA from 1 species
AUACGUAGGGGGCGAGCGUUGUCCGGAAUGAUUGGGCGUAAAGGGCGCGUAGGCGGCCCAGUAAGUCUGGAGUGAAAGUCCUGUUUUUAAGAUGGGAAUUGCUUUGGAUACUGUCGGGCUUGAGUGCAGGAGAGGUAAGUGGAAUUCCCAGUGUAGCGGUGAAAUGCGUAGAGAUUGGGAGGAACACCAGUGGCGAAGGCGACUUACUGGACUGUAACUGACGCUGAGGCGCGAAAGUGUGGGGAGCAAACAGGAUUAGAUACCCUGGUAGUCCACACUGUAAACGAUGAAUGCUAGGUGUAGGGGGUAUCGACCCCUUCUGUGCCGCAGUCAACACAAUAAGCAUUCCGCCUGGGGAGUACGGCCGCAAGGUUGAAACUCAAAGGAAUUGACGGGG